AGUAAGGUUUUACUUGAAACCAUCCUGUCAGAAAUAAAAUUGGUAU
rfam:Nestor notabilis contig23873, whole genome shotgun sequence.